rnacentral:other from 1 species
UUUAUCCUGAGAUGUGCGACAAGGCAGUGUAAUUCAACCUACGUAACGACAUUGGGAGCCCGGGUUUUUGGCGAGCUUAUGUCAAGCCUCCUUUGAGUGGAAGACAGAAGCGGAAACAGGGCACCCCCCUAUUGAAAGAUAGGGUGUGAAUUAUAUCCUUGACGGCAUGUCGGGAUUUUU